AUGUGGCACGAGGCGCGGCGGUCGGAGCGGAAGGUCCACGACCUCAUGGACGGUGCGCGGCGCCGGGCCCAGCGGCGCUACGCCUACCUCGCCCGCCGCCGCGGCGAUCCGCACCAGUCCCUCCAGGUCUCCGGCGCCCGGUGCCGCGUCCACCGCGACGACUCACUAUAUCAGGCCACCGAGGACCAGCAGGGAUUGAUACCAUGGAACGGGAAACAAGAUAUUCUGAUUGACAGAUUUGAUGGCCGUGCACUACUUGACUUCAUCCGUGACUCUAGCCCUCGGUCUUUUCAAACUCAGGAAAAAUCUGAAGAAGAGGAGGAGCUAGAGGAUUUUGUUAAUUUUGAACGUUACCGGGACUUGAUUAAGCAUCGUCGUAGAGGAUUUUCUGAUGAGGCGGGUUUACAACAUAUUGCGCAAGAGUUGGCAGCAAAAGCUAUUCUUCCUUUUAGCUUUGAGAAAUCUCAAUCAUCACAGGCUCCAGUUAGCAAAGGUGCUUAUUCGCAGGUUGGAUACUCAUAUAAAGGGGAUGGAAAUGAACAUUCUGAUGUGCCCAGUGAUGAUGAAGAUGAAGAGGAAGGAGAAGAGGAUGGCAAGGACUUCAGUAGUGAUGAUAGCAGUGAUGAGCAAAUGGAAAACUUAGCAAAGGAAUUUGGCAUAAAAAGAUAUAACUGGCUUGUUUACAUGGACAAAAAGGUCAAAGAAGAGGAGAAGCGGCAGAAAGAAAUUAUUAAAGGCGACCCAUCCAUUAAAAAAAUGAGUCGGAGAGAUAGAAGGAAGGCUUCUCAAUCUGAGAGGGAGCGAGAGAGGGAGGCAGUACGUUCUGUUGGAAGGGUAUCUUAUCGUGACCCUUAUAGGGAACAAAGGAGAAGCCCAUCAUAUGAAGCAUAUUCAAGAGGCAGAAUAUCAAGGUCGCGGUCAAGAUCUCAUUCACCUUCAUCCAGACGUCAUACCCGUGGUACACAUGCUGAUAGUAAUUACCGAAGCAAGGCUAAGCCUCCAAGAGUUGAAUACAUCACUGAAUUUGGAGGUUCAGAAGAUGCCAGUGAUCUGAAAGUUACAGGGAUCUCUCCGCCUUCGUCUCCAAUACGAGCUGACAUACCUAACCGGUCAUCAGGUGUCCAUAUUCUGGAGGCACUUCACAGUGAUCCUGCAUCUUCUUUAUCCAUGGAACAGGAAAAAAGUGCUAAAAUUUUGAAACCACCUGCCAGGUUUGUCAACAUGAUUACAUCCUUACAAACACAGAAGCUGUAUGUGCAACCAAGCUGUUUGAAUUGCACAUCAUCAGCACUAGCGAAACUAAAGGGUGCUUCUGGAGGACUUGGUAAAACUCCCCAGGCUGAAAAGAAAGAAACACCACAGGAACGUCUUAAAAGGAUAAUGAGCAAACAGCUUAACAAACAAAUUCGGAAAGACACUGCUGCUGAGACCGCAAAGAAACGAGAACAGGAACGGCAAAGGCAGGAAAAACUUGCAGAAGUAGGUCGAUACAGGCUCCGUAGCAGGAGUAGAAGUCUUAGCCGUUCACCAAGAAAGCGGCAUUAUAGCAGAAGCCGUAGUAGGAGCCGAAGCCCAAGAAGAAACCAUUCACUUUCACUGUCUUGUUCAAGGUCACCCUCUCACUCUCCAAGGUACAGAAGCAGAUCAAGGCACUGA
rnacentral:rRNA from 1 species